UACGUAGGGGGCAAGCGUUAUCCGGAUUUACUGGGUGUAAAGGGAGCGUAGACGGUACGCCAAGUCUGAAGUGAAAUGCCGCAGCUUAACUGCGGAACUGCUUUGGAAACUGGCGGGCUAGAGUGCGGGAGGGGUAAGCGGAAUUCCUAGUGUAGCGGUGAAAUGCGUAGAUAUUAGGAAGAACACCAGUGGCGAAGGCGGCUUUCUGGACUGAAACUGACGCUGAGGCACGAAAGCGUGGGGAGCGAACAGG
rnacentral:rRNA from 1 species